GCGACCGUUAGUUAAGCUAUGUCCGUUGCCGUUUUCAGCCACGGAGCACUAUUUUUUUUUUCUUUAGUCGCGGGAGGAUGUUCGGGAUUCUCCCCCAUAGUUCGCAGGAAAUAUUUGGGCUAUUAAAAUGGGAUUAUUUAAAUCAAAAUAACAUGUAAAUGUAAAUUUAACUGCAAGUCGUUAAACUACGAACAGAGAUUGACCCUUAUUGAAAAAUACUGCAGAACCUGAAGUCCGUGGAUCGUACAUCAUGGGCUUAAUACAUUUAACUAACGUAAGGAGUAGAAGGCAUGGCUCAUACAAAUACCCUCGUGAUAGUCACCGUCAAUGUGCCACUCACUAUAGCCUUCCAGACGGAGAGGGUAAGGUUGUAGUUGUAUGUAAAUAUACUUUUAUGAAUACUUUCGAUUUGACAAAAAAGUAUUUGGAAACUAUUAUACCAAAGAAAAAAAGCCGCAAAAUCGUUUAUAAAGACAUGAAAACUCAUACAGCUCCUUGAAAAAUUACGCAGGGUGAUAGGCAACUUGUUAGAGAGCAUAUAAUCUCAUUAUUCGUGCGUAUGUAAAUCUACUUUUAUAAAUACUUUCGAUUUGACAAAAAACUAUUUGGAAACUAUUAUACGAAAGAAAAAAAGCCUCAAAAUCGUUUAUAAAGACAUGAAAACUCAUACAGCUCCUUGAAAAAUUACGCAGGGUGAUAGGCAACUUGUUAGGGACCAUAUAAUCUCAUUAUUCGUGCGUAUGUAAAUCUACUUUUAUGAAUACUUUUCAUUUGACAAGAAAGUAUUUGGAAACUAUUAUACGAAAGAACAAAAGCCGCAAAAUCGUUUAUAAAGACAUGAAAACUCAUACAGCUCCUUGAAAAAUUACGCACUGUGAUAUGCAACUUGUUAGAGAGCAUAUAAUCUCAUUAUUCGUGUGAAAAAAGUGCAAAAGAAUAUUUAAGUCCAGAUUUAAAUGUGAACCGCCGUUUUUGCAGCAAUAUUGGUCAACUACAAGUUUUACAAAAAGAUGUUAAAAGAAGACUUUCCAAAUGUUUCAUUUAGAGGACGUCGAAGUGACACCUGUCGUAAAUGUGACUCGUUAAAUUGCGAAAUAAAACCGCAGUGCGAAAGAAGUCGGGCAGCAAAGUUCUCAAUAUUAGCAUUAGAGAAAAAAGAAUGUUGCUGUUUGGAGUGAUAACUUGAGUUGUGGACUCUUUGACACUAUUGAACAUAGGUACGUUGUUACUGAUCAUAGCUUCCUUCAGUGCGAUAGAGUUUGCGCGUUGAUCGACAAAAGAAAGCGCAAGUGCGUUCCGAUGGUACAUGAUGACUUACACAAUGUAAUACUGUCAAGUACACAUACAGGCCGAUUUGAGAUAGUAGAUAUGACAAAAAAAAUUUUUUGAUCUACAAACGGCAGCUGACAAGAUACUAAAUCUCAAACAAGUGGCUAUUAGCAAAGUCGUUCGAAUGAAAGUUGACUCCCAAAGAACUGGCUUUUUGUCUACUGCUGAAUCAAGAAAGGAAAAACCAUAGAAGAUAUUACAAAUAUAUAAGUUAGGCUGCUACCAGACAUGAAUAAGGUCGGUGAGAACAAGAAACGGCACCUAAUAUCAAUGAUUCCUUAUCUAAAAGACCCUAAGCACCAUUUUAUUCUAAUUUGACCACUGGCACUUAUCCGUUUCUUAUUUUUCUUAAAUAUUUAUAAAAAAAUAAUUUUUUCCUUGUUUUUUGUGUCGCAGCUUAUUUACUCGUACGCCAAGUAACAUGUUUAUUUUUUGAAAAUAAAAUGUUUUUUAUUUUGGUAAGAAAUUUUUUUUUA